rnacentral:rRNA from 1 species
CCUGUGUGGCUGUUUCGUUGGCUCCCACCGCACGGGUAAUGGUGAUUCGGGACAGUUUGGGGCAUUCGUAUUUAGUUGUCAGAGGUGAAAUUCUUGGAUUUACUACAGACGAACAUCUGCGAAAGCGUCUGCCAGGGAUGUUUUCAUUGAUCAAGAACGAAAGUUAGGGGAUCGAAGGUGAUUAGAGACCAUCUUAGUCUUAACCAUAAACGAUGCCGACUGGGGAUGGGGGGAAGAUGGUCUACGUUUCCCUCUGCACCCUGUGGGAAACCAAAGUGUUUGGGUUCCGGGGGGAGUAUGGUCGCAAGGCUGAAACUUAAAGGAAUUGACGGAAGGGCACCACCAGGGGUGGAGCCUGCGGCUUAAUUUGACUCAACACGGGGAAACUCA